rnacentral:rRNA from 1 species
GCAAGUCGAACGGCAGCACAGUGGAGCUUGCUCCAUGGGUGGCGAGUGGCGGACGGGUGAGGAAUACAUCGGAAUCUGCCCAGUCGUGGGGGAUAACAUAGGGAAACUUAUGCUAAUACCGCAUACGACCUACGGGUGAAAGCGGGGGAUCGCAAGACCUCGCGCGAUUGGAUGAGCCGAUGUCCGAUUAGCUAGUUGGCGGGGUAAUGGCCCACCAAGGCGACGAUCGGUAGCUGGUCUGAGAGGAUGAUCAGCCACACUGGAACUGAGACACGGUCCAGACUCCUACGGGAGGCAGCAGUGGGGAAUAUUGGACAAUGGGCGCAAGCCUGAUCCAGCCAUGCCGCGUGGGUGAAGAAGGCCUUCGGGUUGUAAAGCCCUUUUGUCCGGAAAGAAAAGCCUCGGAUUAAUACUCUGGGGUAAUGACGGUACCGGAAGAAUAAGCACCGGCUAACUUCGUGCCAGCAGCCGCGGUAAUACGAAGGGUGCAAGCGUUACUCGGAAUUACUGGGCGUAAAGCGUGCGUAGGUGGUUUGUUAAGUCUGAUGUGAAAGCCCUGGGCUCAACCUGGGAAUGGCAUUGGAAACUGGCAGGCUAGAGUGCGGUAGAGGAUGGCGGAAUUCCCGGUGUAGCAGUGAAAUGCGUAGAGAUCGGGAGGAACAUCUGUGGCGAAGGCGGCCAUCUGGACCAGCACUGACAC